rnacentral:rRNA from 1 species
AACGAACGCUGGCGGCGCGUCUUAAGCAUGCAAGUCGAACGGCAAGAUUGGUGCUUGCACCGAUCCUAGAGUGGCGGACUGGUGAGUAACGCGUGGGUGACGUACCCUAAGGAUGGGAAUAGCUGGUAGAAAUAUCAGAUAAUACCGAAUAUCCUUAUUGUCGUUAGAGGACAGUAAGGAAAGGAGCUUUGGCUUCGCCUAAGGAUCGGCCCGCGUACUAUUAGCUAGUUGGUGAGGUAACGGCUCACCAAGGCGACGAUAGUUAUCCGGCCUAAGAGGGUGAACGGACACAUUGGGACUGAGAUACGGCCCAGACUCCUACGGGAGGCAGCAGCUAAGAAUAUUCCGCAAUGGAGGAAACUCUGACGGAGCGACGCCGCGUGGAUGAUGAAGGCCGGAAGGUUGUAAAAUCCUUUUAAGCAAGAAGAAUAAACUUUACAGGGAAUGGUAGAGUGGUGACGGUAUUGCUUGAAUAAGCAACGGCUAAUUACGUGCCAGCCGCCGCAGUAACAC